rnacentral:rRNA from 1 species
CCGGCUAACUACGUGCCAGCAGCCGCGGUAAUACGUAGGGUGCAAGCGUUAAUCGGAAUUACUGGGCGUAAAGCGUGCGCAGGCGGUCCGCUAAGACAGAUGUGAAAUCCCCGGGCUUAACCUGGGAACUGCAUUUGUGACUGGCGGGCUAGAGUAUGGCAGAGGGGGGUAGAAUUCCACGUGUAGCAGUGAAAUGCGUAGAGAUGUGGAGGAAUACCGAUGGCGAAGGCAGCCCCCUGGGCCAAUACUGACGCUCAUGCACGAAAGCGUGGGGAGCAAACAGGAUUAGAUACCCUGGUAGUCCACGCCCUAAACGAUGUCAACUAGUUGUCGGGUCUUCAUUGACUUGGUAACGAAGCUAACGCGUGAAGUUGACCGCCUGGGGAGUACGGUCGCAAGAUUAAAACUCAAAGGAAUUGACGG